CAGAGAGGGAAGGAGCCUUUGGAGCUUGGCAAAUGCAGGGGUUUCUUACAGGGGUUUCUGGCAAGGCUGACCCUGGCACCAGUUCUGGAGUUGUAGGUGG